UCCCUCAUAAAAUCAUUAAGUGAUUAGAUAGGAAUUUUCGAGGAAUGUUAAGUUGCAUUCAAAUUAGUUUCACUGAGAAAUAUUUGAGUGAUUUGCAAGGGAUCUACUGUGCUUGGUAAAUUUUUUGAAAAUCCUUUAGUAAUUUGUAAGGAAUUAUCAGUGAGUGAUUAUUUCAUUAAUUUUCACCAAAGAAUUUAUAAAAAAAGUUCUAUCCCUCGGAGAUUUACCAAGGGAUAAAUCCUUUGGUGC
rnacentral:lncRNA from 1 species